GAUGAACGCUGGCGGCGUGCCUAAUACAUGCAAGUCGAGCGAACGGACGAGAAGCUUGCUUCUCUGAUGUUAGCGGCGGACGGGUGAGUAACACGUGGAUAACCUACCUAUAAGACUGGGAUAACUUCGGGAAACCGGAGCUAAUACCGGAUAAUAUUUUGAACCGCAUGGUUCAAAAGUGAAAGACGGUCUUGCUGUCACUUAUAGAUGGAUCCGCGCUGCAUUAGCUAGUUGGGAAGGUAACGGCUUACCAAGGCAACGAUGCAUAGCCGACCUGAGAGGGGGAUAGGCCACACUGGAACUGAGACACGGUCCAGACUCCUACGGGAGGCAGCAGUAGGGAAUCUUCCGCAAUGGGCGAAAGCCUGACGGAGCAACGCCGCGUGAGUGAUGAAGGUCUUCGGAUCGUGAAAAUCUGUUAUUAGGGAAGAACAUAUGUGUAAGUAACUGUGGACAUCUUGACGGUAACUAAUCAGAAAGCCACGGCUAACUACGUG
rnacentral:rRNA from 1 species